rnacentral:rRNA from 2 species
GGGCAAACCUUGCCCUUUGAGACGGGGAUAACUCCCCCAAACCGGAGCUAAUACCGGAUAACACAUAUCUUCGCAUGAGGAUAUGUUAGAAGGUGGCUUUUAGCUACCACUCAAGGAUGGGCCCGCGGCGCAUUAGCUAGUUGGUGAGGUAACGGCUCACCAAGGCGACGAUGCGUAGCCGACCUGAGAGGGUGAUCGGCCACACGGGGACUGAGACACGGCCCAACUCCUACGGGAGGCAGCAGUAGGGAAUCUUCCGCAAUGGACGAAAGUCUGACGGAGCAACGCCGCGGGAGUGAUGAAGGUUUUCGGAUCGUAAAGCUCUGUUGUUAGGGAAGAACAAGUACCUGUUAAAUAAGCAGGUACCUUGACGGUACCUAACCAGAAAGCCACGGCUAACUACGUGCCAGCAGCCGCGGUAAUACGUAGGUGGCAAGCGUUGUCCGGAAUUAUUGGGCGUAAAGCGCGCGCAGGCGGUUCCUUAAGUCUGAUGUGAAAGCCCACGGCUCAACCGUGGAGGGUCAUUGGAAACUGGGGAACUUGAGUGCAGAAGAGGAGAGCGGAAUUCCACGUGUAGCGGUGAAAUGCGUAGAGAUGUGGAGGAACACCAGUGGCGAAGGCGGCUCUCUGGUCUGUAACUGACGCUGAGGCGCGAAAGCGUGGGGAGCGAACAGGAUUAGAUACCCUGGUAGUCCACGCCGUAAACGAUGAGUGCUAAGUGUUAGAGGGUUUCCGCCCCUUUAGUGCUGCAGCAAACGCAUUAAGCACUCCGCCUGGGGGAGUACGGUCGCAAGACUGAAACUCAAAGGAAUUGACGGGGACCCGCACAAGCGGUGGAAGCAUGUGUUUUAAUUCGAAGCAACGCGAAGAACCUUACCAGGUCUUGACAUCCUCUGCUACUUCUARAGAUAGAAGGUUCCCUUCGGGGACAGAGUGACAGGUGGUGCAUGGUUGGUCGUCCASCUCGUGUCGUGAGAUGUUGGGUUAAGUCCCGCAACGAGCGCAACCCUUGAUUUUAGUUGCCAGCAUUUAGUUGGGCACUCUAAGGUGACUGCCGGUGACAAACCGGAGGAAGGUGGGGAUGACGUCAAAUCAUCAUGCCCCUUAUGACCUGGGCUACACACGUGCUACAAUGGAUGGUACAAAGGGCUGCAAAACCGCGAGGUUAAGCCAAUCCCAUAAAACCAUUCUCAGUUCGGAUUGUAGGCUGCAACUCGCCUACAUGAAGCCGGAAUCGCUAGUAAUCGCGGAUCAGCAUGCCGCGGUGAAUACGUUCCCGGGUCUU